GCGGCGGACGGGUGAGUAAUGCAUAGGAAUCUGCCCGAUAGUGGGGGAUAACCUGGGGAAACCCAGGCUAAUACCGCAUACGUCCUACGGGAGAAAGGGGGCUUCGGCUCCCGCUAUUGGAUGAGCCUAUGUCGGAUUAGCUAGUUGGUAAGGUAAUGGCUUACCAAGGCAACGAUCCGUAGCUGGUCUGAGAGGAUGAUCAGCCACAUCGGGACUGAGACACGGCCCGAACUCCUACGGGAGGCAGCAGUGGGGAAUAUUGGACAAUGGGGGCAACCCUGAUCCAGCCAUGCCGCGUGUGUGAAGAAGGCCCUCGGGUUGUAAAGCACUUUCAGCGAGGAAGAACGCCUAUCGGUUAAUACCCGGUAGGAAAGACAUCACUCGCAGAAGAAGCACCGGCUAACUCCGUGCCAGCAGCCGCGGUAAUACGGAGGGUGCAAGCGUUAAUCGGAAUUACUGGGCGUAAAGCGCGCGUAGGUGGCUUGAUAAGCCGGUUGUGAAAGCCCCGGGCUCAACCUGGGAACGGCAUCCGGAACUGUCAGGCUAGAGUGCAGGAGAGGAAGGUAGAAUUCCCGGUGUAGCGGUGAAAUGCGUAGAGAUCGGGAGGAAUACCAGUGGCGAAGGCGGCCUUCUGGACUGACACUGACACUGAGGUGCGAAAGCGUGGGUAGCAAACAGGAUUAGAUACCCUGGUAGUCCA
rnacentral:rRNA from 2 species